AAAGGCAAAUUCGAGAGAAAUCCAGGCGCCAAACCCCCUGGACCCCAAAGGAUGACAAGGCAUUGCACAACCUGGUAAUAUCUAUUCAGGGAACGAAUCUUCACGCGAUUGAUUUUGAUUCGCCAUUAACUGUCACAGUGGGAUUUACAACAGAGCACAUUUUCACCACGGUAAAGAAUACAGAUGGAAACUUAGUAUUUCUGGCUCAUCGUACCAUCUGCACAAACCAGCAUAGGUAUGGUGCCUUAGGCAAAACCCUCCUAGCUGCUCAGCUGGCAGAACCACUCGCUAUUGGACAAGGGCGAUUGCAGGCAGUAGGAGCAACUUUGAUACCUCGCCUAGCUCACGACCGACCCGAUCCAUGUUUCCAUGGAGAACCAGCCACAUGGAGUGCUUUAGUCUUAAAUCACUUAUACCAUUGGAAUGCAUGGAAGUAUGAGGAUCUGCCGCCGCCCCCGAUCAUUGAGUCAACACUACACCUCACGUUGUACGGAACAACCCAGCCGGCUUGGAUGGCAUCGGAUGGUUCCACCCGCGAAGGCGGGAAGUAUGGUUUUUAUUGUCAUCCAUGCUGCAUACACGAUAUCCAACCCGGCUGUGAAUCAGCCCAACGUAAUGAACUCUUGGGAUUCCAUGCAGUUAUACAGCACUGCUUAGAAAACCACGACGCGACUCUCCCAGUUCCAAUCAUCGCUAUCUAUUCUCAUUACAUCUACAAGAUAAUAACUGGCACGACUAAACCGACUGAACACCUUGACAUUUGGGAAGACACAUACCGACUGUUGUCGCAGUUCACAAUCUUACCACUAGUCCGCCACACGCGUUCCCAUAGGAAUGACACCGACCCGGUACACGCUACAAUCAAUGAGUUGCCACGACUAGUAGCUAAUGAUGAAGUAUUCUCCCUAGACGAUACGAGCGAACCCAGGCCACGACUAGUAGCUAAUGAUGAAGUAAAUACUCCCCCUAGACGAUGCGAGUGAACCCAUGCCAUGACUAGUAUCUAACGAUGAAGUGUUCACUCUAGACGAUACCAGUGAGCCCGUUUGUAUUGAUCCCUACCUCACUUGGUUGCACGAGCGAUGGAGUCAUCCAGGCCCUAAGGCGUGCUACUCCCGAUGGCGUGAGACCAUAGCAGAGAAGCCACAGUAUGGCCUACAUCGUGACUGGAGACGCGUAGUCCAAGCCUGCGCAGCCUGUGCAAAGGAGAAAGUACAUCCGACAAAGAGCACGAAAGGAGCCCUCGCAAAAGAAAAUUUCAACCCAGGUCAAACCUGGCAAGACGACCUUUUUGGGCCAUUACCCGGAGCCUCAAUCCCAAAUAAGGGGCUACUCAUUGUCGAUCUCGGCUCUCGACUAA
rnacentral:lncRNA from 1 species